UCUCGCCUCAGCGGUGAUAUUACGUAACCGCUGGCCAAUCAGACGCGGCUAGGCUGAGGCUGCCGCAGUGCGGUGUCACGUGCCCGUGCUUUGCCGCAGUCCUAAAGGACUUGAAGCCAUUUUGUUCCAUCAAUUAAGGAGGUGGGAGGGGUGAUCUUCCCUGAAGGGCAAGGUCAAAUUGGGCUUUGAAGGGGCUAGUUAAAUGUGUCACCUGACAGCCCCCCCUCACCUCAUUUUGUCUGCUCAGUCUUGAGGCUCCCGGACAGUCCAAAGCCCCAAGGGUCAAGUGGCCAACUGUCAAACUCCAUGACCUGUCCAUAGGCCCUAAGCCAACCUCGUGGGUAGAGGCAUCACCCUAUCCGAAGUGCUGGAGGAGGUCACCGGUCUCACCUAAAGCAUGUGAGACCUAGUGACUCCCAACUAGGAGGGACCUUUGAAACCAUCCAGCUCAGACAAAGGACCAGGAAGCCUAGAGAGGGUCACGGGACUAGAACUCAGGUCUUCAUCUCUUAAGAAAAAACCAACUACAGAGGCAGAUCAUCUUUGUUGUUCUUUGGCCUUCAUUUUUGAAGAGGACCAAUGACAUCACAAGAGUUAUGUAAGUCCAGUGGCAAGACAAAAGUCAAGAUGACUAGUGAGAGUCCAGGAUGAUAUGGAUGACUUUGGCUUCUUUGAUAUCUAACCACACUCUAAGCACUCCACAGUGCCUGCUUCAGCCACUUUCAUGGCCACUAGAACAAAUUGUUUUCAUCUGCCCAUUCUACCAGGUAAUACAUGAAGAAUUUGAUCCUCUGGACUACCAUACCAUGAAUCUUUAUGUUCGGUGGCAAAAAGGGCCAUGCAUGGUCGCUUGAUGAUUAAGACUGGCCCAUCCACUUGUGAUCCUACACAAUGACUGAUCCUACAAUUGCUACAGGUUACAUUCCAAUAUCUAACUCCUUUGUGUGUUAAUUCAGUAAUGUUCAAAGCUUCAGGAUGAUCUUUUACUGUAGUUAUAAAAGCAUACUCCCCUGUUAGGCAAGCUUGAAUGUCUAAUGUAACACUUCUAUUUACUGGUCUUUGAACUUUCCCAUUAUUAGUAACAUUAACAUAUUGAGACAUAUAUACUUUAUCCAAUGCCAGGGCUAUCUUUCCAUAAUCAGUCAAAAUCUGUGUGAAAUUAGCAGAACGUAACCAAUUAGCUCUGGGGGCGUCACCCACAAAGGCAAGCUGUACCCUCCUAUAAAACAAUCAUGAAAUUUAUAAGAAUCCAGUUUCUUUCCAAUACACCUUGUGUCGUUAUGCCAAGACACCCAAAUCAUAUUUUUUUCCAAUGAAUACAUGAUGCCCUUUUAGAUCUACAUGAUAGCAAGGGCAGAAACAUAUUAACAGAGUCUCUUUGUUCAUAUUCCAUCAUGUAUGGACAAAUAGGCCUUUCUUGUCCCCAAGUACUAUCACAAGAUUCCCCUAGCCAACCUAGAUAUUGCAGUUGGCCGUAACCUUCAUAUUUUACCCCUUGGUCUACAUGAUAAGGUCCUAUCCAGAAAGAGUCUGACAGAUCAGGAUGACCAUAAUAAUGUGCCUGCAGAGAAUGGAGGGGCAGGCAUGCAGGAUGGCCUUGUGUGAGGCACACUGGGGGUGCCUCAACUAGUCCAGUCCAAUUGAAAGGCACAAACAAAUUGUUGGCCUGAUUUCUGUCUUUAGCUUGUCUCUCAAAAUGGUAAAUGUCAGGAAUAUCAGAGUUAGUUUUUGUAUAUAAGAUGACUUUCUGUAAAGUGUGUCCCAUGCCAACAUAUUCUACUCAAGGUGGUUGUUCUCAAAAGUCCCAUUUCUUUAUUGCAGUAGCUGUACUUAAAUUCUGAAAUAAAAGCAAAAGAGUCAAUAUCUUAUGGAGACAUUGUCGAGUCUCCUUGCGAGGCUUCCUGCAUCCUCUCCUUAUCCUCUUUAUGGUCAAUUUCUCGAACUCGGCAGGAAGGGAGCCAUACUCUGUCUUUACCUGUGGAGACACAAAAAAAACCUCGACCUGGCAGGACCACUGGGUGGGGUCCUUGCCAAGACUGAUUAUCAUCUUUCCACACGCCAAAUUUUUGUUCUGGGGCAGGGAGCACAGGAGUAGUGGAACCGGAAUUUUGUUCAUAAGAAAAUGCAGAGAAAAAAUUUUCAGCUCUGGAUAUAUUAUUGGAAGUAAAGAUCAAAUUAUUUAUAGUAUAUAUAGCUAUUGCCAAUCAUCAAUAUAGGGUGCUUUCUCCCCCUUUUUGUUUUAAAAGAAAUGUUUUUAGUAUUUCAUUACUGUGCUCCACAAUAACUUGUCCUUGUGGAUUGUAUGGGAUACCUGUGAGGUGUUGAAUACCCCAAAUUUGGCAAAAAAGAAAAAAAUAUAUAUAAGCAGGUCCAUUAUCUGUUUUAAAUGUUCUGGGGGGACCAGCAAUCUGAAAAGUCAUUAAGCAGUGAUUAAUAACAUGAGAAGUUCUUUCUCCCAUCAAGUAGGAAGCCCAUAAAAAUCCUGAAUAAGUAUCCACAGUGACAUGGAUAUAUUUAAGUCAUCCAAAGGACCAUUCAUGGGUCACAUCCAUUUGCCAUAUAUCUGUACUAUUUAAGCCUCUGGGAUUCACACUAAUAUGCAUUGAGGGGGGUGGCUUGGAACACAAUUAGGACACUUUUUAACAAUACUUCUGGCUUGAUCUUUAGUGAGUUGGAACAUUUUGUGUAAAGCAGUACUAUUUUGGUGAAAUCUAUGAUAUGAUUCCUCAGCUAAUUGCAUAUUAGAUAAUAUUGAGCAAUCAAAUCUUGAGCUAUAAUAUCAUUUCCUUUAAAAAUAGGUCCAGGCAGAGUGGUAUGACUAUGUACAUGCAUGACAUAUACUGGAUGUGUCCUUUGUCGUAUGACAGUUUGUAAUUUACAGAAUAACAUUUGUACAUUGCUUUGAGUAGAUCUGAUAACAGCUUGUUCUAUACCCUGCAAAAACUGAAAAACAUAUUUAGAGUCCAUUAUAAGGUUGAAAGGAUCCUGAAAUAACCAAAAAGCUAGUAAAACAGCUGUUAAUUCAUUUUGUUGGGUAGAAGAAAAAGGAGUGGUAAAAAUGACAGGUGAGCUAUCUUCCUUGUAUACUCCUGCCUUGUAAUUAGCAUUUGCAUCAACAUAAACAUUAGGUUCUGAUACCCGACGAUCUCUUAGAAUAUGAGGAAAAACAAUAGUAUGUUGUGACAAAAAAGAAAAUAAGCCUUGUGGAGUGUAGGUGGUAAUAGCAAUGGGGUACACUAAUAGUAAAGACCAUUCGUCAUGACUUUGUAAAUAUUUCUGUAUAUCUUUAGCAAUGGAUACUUGGAUUUCAUGAGGAUACCAUCCUAAACCUGAAACCACAUGUUCUAUGCCUUUCCAUUUUAAUUGAGCCAUAAGACAAUUAUAACUUGCCUUUUUAGAUGUAACCAUUCAAUGACUCUUUGUUUCUCAGUUAAGGCACCUGUUGGUAACAUAAAGUUGCAAAAAUAGUCACUUCCACAGCUAAUUGAGGCUGAUAGCGGUUAAGUGGAGCCUGAUUCAAUUUGUCUUCUACUAUCUCUAAAGCAAGAAAGGCCUCCGGUGUCAAAGUUCCAGGGGAAUUCAAAUCAGAACUCCCUUCCAGUAUUUUGAAUAAAGGUUGUAAUUCAGUUGUAGUAAGAAAUGAAUAUUGCCUAACACAAUUGAUAUCACCUAACAAUUUCUGAUAAUCAUUUAAGGUAUUAAAGUAGUCCUUUCUUAAUUGUAUUUUUGAGGCAUAACAGAUGCUACAUAUAACUGAGCCCCUAGAUAGAGUACGGGACUUGUUUUUUGAAUCUUUUCUUGAGCAAUGACUAAAUGGUAUUUUUGCAAGGUAAUUUCCAAUUGACUAUAGCACUUGCUUAUUUAGGAUUCAUCUUCAGCCACGAUAAGAAUAUCAUCCAUAUAAUGUAUGAUGUACAGAGCAGGAAAAUGUAGUCUUACAGAAUGAAGGGCUGAAGCUACAUAUUGUUGGCUGAAUAAUCUUAUCAUUCUGGACAUGGAAUGUUUGCAUUACAGUUCCACAGCUUCAAACAAGUACUUGGUCAGACAGAGCUGGCAAAGUUUGUUUGUUUGAGCAUCUUAAAACCUCCUUUCUAUAAUUUCUACAAUUAAAAUAUACUCAUCUUAAGUUCUAUUACACAGUGGUUGUUAACUCUUUGAGGUCCCUAUUUCAGUUCAUAAGUAUCAGUGUGGAACAAUUAUAAGCACUUCUUUCUCCUUCCUGUGUGCAAGGAAGGGGUUAAUAGCUUCUGAGCAAUUUAUCCUAAGGCUCCUUGGCUCAAUUUAGAUUUAUUACUUAACAGCCUUGUCCCAUCCUUCUCUAACAAGUGAGCUCACUACAAUUUAAAAUUUUGAAUUUAUCAAACCUCUUUCAUAAUAAUUUACUCAGUGAAUUUUAGUUUGAACUCCACAACUUCCAAAUAACUUUGAUUAAGUCCUUUAGCAAUCUUUCAGUGUGUAACCAAACUGAAGUACAAAGCAUUUACCUGUACUCCUCUCAAAUUUCUGUCUAAAGUAGAAUAGAUCCUCCAGUUUAGUUUUCUUUUAGCUCAAAAUAUUGCUACAUACUUGAUUAAAUUCCAAUUUAUAAUUUGUUGUAUCUAUUUCACACUAGAAUUCAUAGUAUCAACUAGUAUCUCUAUCCAUUACUCUUAUUUCUUCUGGCUUCUCCUCUUUACCAUUUUUGUAAGUAGAGGAAAGGUACUGUCACCCUUCUUGAUUUCAAGGCUGCAGUUUGCAUAUCAUAUACCCUUAAAUUCUUUCCUAUAUAUUGUACACAUUUUAGAAGCAAUUCAUAUAACCUUAGUCAAAGACAACAUUGUUUAGAAAUUCUCUCUUGCAAAAUACCAACUUCUUGGUACUAGUAUUAUUGAAUCCCAUUUAAAAACGUCUUGUGUGUCAAAUGAUUUCUUGUUACUACUCCUGACAGCACAUGCAUUAAAAUAAAUAUGAUUUGAAAAAAUCCCAAAUUUAAAUUCUAGAAUAAGUUCUUCUCAACAACAUAACAACUUUUUCAGGAUGACUUUUACAUCUAUAAAGUAGCCAGUGCAAUUUUUGUCCUUAAAGAAUAAAACAUUCCCUCUCUGUGUCAGUCUGGCUAUCAGCCACAUUUAGACAAUUGUCAAAUUCACUGAAACCAUUAUGCAUAGCAAGAUCUAACAAAACAAACUUCUAACCAUGAGUUUUGUUGUGCUCAAUAAAAUCUGGUUAACAUUUCACAUUUAACUGACAAAUAGUUACCAUAAUUCAUGAAAUUAUAUUUGUAUCAUAUCAAAAUCAUUAACAAUCCUCCAAAAUUGCAUACAUCAAACCAUUAAUCUAAGUGAAAAGUAGCAUCUAAUUAUGGAGUAAAAAUCUCCCUUUUUCUGUUCUGAAUUUUUCUCUUUUUCACUCUUUUGGGGGCCCAUCCAAAGGAAGAAAGAGGAAAAAAUCAUUGAACAGGUAUUUGCUUUUGUCCUCUGCUGAGGAUUUUUGACAGACAAGUUCAAUCUUGCAACUAUCCCAUUUUUUUCUUUCUUUUUGUGAGUGUCCAAUUUAAGAAUACAUAGAGACAAGACUGUGACAAAGACAACGAUAAACAGAAACACACAACAUUGUGACAAGCAUGCUUUGAAAGGAAAAAAUCAGUGUUUUAGGAUCCAAGGGUUCCAAUAAAAGAAGCAGGGGGAAGGGGGUCCCUGUACCGGGCGCCACUUGCCGGGGACAUCUACAGAGUCACAAUAGGGGACAGUUUAGAACUGUUGGAGAACAGCUAUGGAGUCACAAGAAAGAAAGACUGGAACAUUAUCAAAGAAGGAUAAUGAAUGUUUAUUGUAAGCAGCACACCAGAUUUAAAGCUCUUCUCGAGAGACAUAAUCUAUCCUCCCCAAUCAUCCCCAAUAUGUGAACAGGGGAAUUAACCUGUUCCCAGGAGAUCUUGGAACUGUUCAUGCAGCCUUGAACUGAGAUUACUAUGUUUUGGAGUACUCAGCAGGAAUGGUAUGUCACAAACACCUGAAAAGAGGAACUCCAUUCCAUGAAGUCAUGAAAGGUUCACUGCACUCUUGGAAUACCUAAUACAUCUCAAAUUAUUUCUUGUAUAUUCCCAAUCUGUUAUCCUUUAUUUUGUUUCCUUUGUGAGGCUUGCCACCAUGGAUUCAGGUUUUUAAAUUCUGCUAAUUAUUUCUGCUAUCCUGGAUACUUUUCUCUGUGGGUUUUCAUGGCACUAUUUUCUCCCCAAUUCUCCUUCUAACCUGUUUGACAAUCCCUUCUCAUUCUCCUUUGCCAGGUCAUAAUAUUAUUCCCUAAUUUUGGGGAUUUGUUUGUUUUUGUUUUUUUCCAACCCAUCCAUAAACAUUUACCUGAAAUCUUCUCUGCUGACCACAAUCUAUUGGUUUUCACCUCCCCCUCUAUCUUUCCUUACAAAACUCUACUUUUCAUCUGUACCAAUCCUUAAUUCUUCUCAAUUCUUCUCCCCAGCACUAGCCCCUCUCUUCUUUUCUCAUAUCGAUCCCUUGGUAAGCCAAUUCAACUCUUUACUGCCCACCCUUAUUGAAUACCUACUGCCACCCCCAUUAUCAUCACCAAUUAUGCUGUCAGACUUCUUUCUUGGAUCACUCCCACCAUACAUUGCCUUCAUUCCUACACAAGUACUGCUGAAUGAAGGCAGAGAAAGUCACAACUAUGUGAUUAUAUCUGCUACACAUGUUAUACACCCUCAACUGGGCCCUCAGCAAGGCUAGGCAAUCAACUUACUAUCCUACUCUCCCCAAUAGCUCUUUCAUUCCUUUUUAUUCCACCUCAAACCUCUAGUAGGUCACUUAGUUGAGAAUAUUGCCUCAUAUUUUACAGAAAAAAAAUUGGGGCUGUUUUCCAUGAACUCCCUCUUCCUCAUCUCCUAUAAUUUAGAUGAUGCCUUCUACCACUAACUCCUUCACCCCUGACUCACAUGAUAAAAUGGCCUUGCUCCUUUUGUUUAUUCAAGUGAUCCCAUUCCUUCCCCUUGUGAAUUUCAAAACUAGUCCAGGCUAUUCAGACCAUUCUUUAGAAGAUCACAUUUAGCUAUUUCCUGAUCAAUAAUAAUAGAGAUACUUGGAAUAACAGAAUCAGGUCUUAGAAACUACAUUCUCCACCCUACUCAGUGUAACAAGAUUAGGAAGGGCUACAGCAAACUCAAGAUUUAAUUAUUUGAGAAUAUGGCCUUCAACAGACAUGUGCAAAAAAAGGACAGACCUCUGGGCGAUCCUAGGUCAAGCUAGAGCCACCAUUGGCACAUGUGAGAUGCAGAAAGUGAGGUAGAGAACAGCCUCUGGAGUUCUCAGGACUUCCUGUGAGGAGGGCUAGAGUACAGUUCGAGGCUGGUGCUUAAGUUGGAGGAGCCCCACAGACUGCUUUCCUUCAGAUUGGUCACGUAAGGACUGAUCCCUUUCCCUGCCCUGGUUAUCCAAGGCCUUAACACCCGCUUUGGCUCAGCCUGAGCCAGAGUGGUUCUGAGUUAAACUUCUUUCCUUCUCUCUCUCUCUCUCUCUCUCUCUCUCUCUCUCUCUCUCUCUCUCUCUCUCUCUCUCUCUCUCUCUCUCUCUCUCUCUCUCUCUCUCUCUCUCUCUUUCUCCCUCCCUCUAAUACUUUCUUCAUCCUGUUGUAAUUAAAACACCAUAAAAAUUUGGCAGCUGACUUGAGUGUUUCAUUUAGGAAUUACAUAAGUGAAUUCCUUGGCGACCUUAAAUUAAUAUAUAGAUCAGUCUUUUAAAGUGAUUUCAAUAUCACACCCUCCAACAGAUUGCCUUCUCUGUUAUCUCCACUCUUUAAAAAUUUAUUUUUUCUGCCAAUAACAUUUUAUUUCCCCCCAAAUAGACAAAAAACAAUUUUUAACUUUUUUUAAAUGUUGAGUUCCAAAAACGUGUCCCACUCCCCUUCCAGAGAUGAUAAGCAAUUUUAUAUAGGUUAUAUAUUUACAAUAAUGUGAAACAUUUCCAUAUUAAUCUUCUUGUGGAAUAAACAAACAAAAAAAUCCACAGAGAAAAUAAAGUGAAUAAUAGUAUGCCUCCAUCUGCAUUUAGACUCCACUAGUUCUUUCCCUGGAGAUGGCUAGCAUUUUUUAUCAUCAGUCCUUUGGAAUUUUCUUGGAUCAUUGUAUUUCUAAGAAGAAGUAAGUUAUUCACAGUUGAUCCUUGUACAAUAUUGCUAUUAUUAGUUAUAAUGUUCUGGUUUUACAACUUCGCUCUGCAUCAGUUCACGUAAGUCUUUCCAGAUUUUUCUGAAAUUAUUCUGCUUAUCAUUUUUUAUAGCACAGUGGUAUUUCAUUACAACCAUAUAUCACAACUUAGCCAUUCACCAAUUGAUGGGUAUCUCCUCACUUUCCAAUUCAUUGCUACUACAAAAAGAGCUGCUAUAAUUUUGCUUAUAUAGAUACUUUUCUUUUUUCUGUAUUUUUUUCUCUUUGGGAUAUAGACCUAGCCAUGGUAUUCCUGGGUCAAAGGAUAUGUUUGGUUUUAUAGCUCUUUGGGCAUAGUUCCAAAUUGUUCUCAAGAAUGACUAUAUCAAUUCACAAACUCCACCAACAGUGCAUUAAUGUCUCAGUUUUCCCAAAUCCCCAGCAACUUUUGUUAUUUUUCUUUUCUGCCAAUCUGAGAAGUAUGAGGUGAUGUCUCAGAGUUAUUUUAAUUUGCAUUUCUUUUUAAUUAACUUAAAGCAUUUGUUUAUAUAGCAAUAGAUAGCUUUGAUUGCUUCAGCCAAAAACUAUUCAUAUCCUUUGACCAUUUAGCAAUUAGGAAAUGACUUAUAUUCUUAUACAUUUGAUUCAUUUCUAUAUAUAUAAAUAUAUAUAUAUAUAUAUAUUUGAGAAAUUUGGCCUUUAUGAAAGAAAUUUAUAAAUUUUUCUUCACCAUUAAAAUUAUUACCUUCCAUCCUUUUUCGCUUCAUUCAUCCCAUUCUCUCCUUUCAUCCUGUCCAUCCUCAAGCAUUUUGUUUCUGAACAUUACCUCCCCCAAUUUGUCUUCCUUCUUUGAGCCACUUUUUUAAAAACACCUUUCAUCUUGGAAGCAAUACUGUGGGGUGCAGCUGGGUGGCUCAGUGGAUUGAGAGGCAGACCUAGAGACAGGAGGUCCUAGGUUCAAAUCUGGCCUCAGACUCUUCCCAGCUGUGUGACCCUGGGCAAGUCACUUAACCCUCAUUGCCUAGCCCUUACCACUCUUCUGCUUUGGAGCCAAUACACAGUAUUGACUCCAAGACAGAAGGUAAGGGUUUAAAAAAAAUACUGUGUAUUAGUUCCAAGGCAGAAGAAUGGUAAGGGCUAGGCAAUGAGAAGUAAAUUACUUUUCCAGGGUCACACAGUUAGGAAGUGUCUGAGGUCAGAUUUGAACUCAGGAUGUCACUAGGACUGGCUCACAAUCCACUGAACCAUCCACUUGUGCUCACUUUGAACGUCUGAUGAGUGUAAGGUUCAAGCACUCCCCUCCCUACUUCUUCAUCUACCUCCCAUGAUAAAAGUUUUUUUGUGCCUCUCAUGUGAAAUAACUUGCCAAAUUCUAUCUCUUCUUUAACCCUUCUCCCAAUGCAUCUCUCUUUCUCACCCCUUAAUUUUUUUAGAUGUCAUCCCAUCAUAUUCAGCUCACAUUUUUGCCCUCUGUCUAUAUAUACUCAAAACUGCCCUAGUAAUUUUAAUGUCAUAUGAGUUACAAGUAUCAUCUUCCCACAUAGGUAUGUAAACAGUUUAACCUUAUUGAAACCCUUAUAAUUUUUCUUUCUUGUUUACCUUUUUAUGCUUCUCUUAAACCUUAUAUUUUAGAACCACAUUUUCUAUUCAGUUCUAGUCUUUUCAUCAUGAACACUUGAAAGUUCCCUAUUUCAUUGAAUGCCUACUUUUCCCCCUGAAGGAUUAUACCAAGUUUUUCUGGGUAGGUAAUUCUUGGCUGCAAAGUUGUUUGGAGGGUAAUUUGGGAGAGAUAAAGAGGGCUGUCCCUUCUCCACCAUCUUGGCUUUUGCCCCUAUCAUUUCUACUUUUUCACUUUGAUUUUCACUAGAUACUUCCAUCCUCAUUAUCAUCUUAUAUCUUUUUUGCCUUUGUAACUAAACUCCUCAAAAAGGCCAUCUAGGUGGUGAUGGAACACUUCUGUGCUAUAAGGAACGGUAAAUCUCUUGAUUUCUAUAUGAACUGGAAAGACCUACAUUAUACAUAGUAACUGAAACAUUGAAGGAUGAUCAAAUGUAAUAGACUUUGCUACUAAUACCAAUGCAAUGAUCCAGGACAAUCCUGAGGGACUUAUGAAAAAGAAUGCCAUCCACAUCUAGAGAAAGAACUGUGGGAGUAGAAAUGCAGAAGAAAACAUAUGAUUUAUCACUUAUUCAUAUGGGUAUCUAAUUUGGGGUUUUGGUUUUUAAAGAUUACUCUUUUACAAAAGUGAAUAAUAUGGAAAUAGGUAUCAAGUGACAACACAUGUAUAACCUACUGGAAUUGCUUAUUAGUUCUAGGAGGGGGGAGGGAGAGAACAUGAAUCAUGUAACUAUGGUAAAAUAUUUUUUAAAAUAAAAUAUUUUUUAAAAGGCCAUGUAGAAUUGGUGCCUCCACUUUCUCUCCACUCAUUAUCUUCUUAACCCCUUAUAAUAUGGCUUUUAAUCUUAUUACACCAAAACUGCUCUCUCCAAAAUUACUAAUGAUUUUAGUGGUAAAUCCACUGGCGUCUUCUCAAUCCUCAUUCUCCUUGACCUCUCUGAAGUAUUCUCUUUGAUAUUCUCUUCUGUGAUAGCUUGAUGUUUUCACUACCUAGAAGUAUAAUUUCAUACAUAGAUAUUCGUUGGUCUGAAUAUGCUUGAAUACGAAAUUUCCUCAUUAGCGCUUCUAUUUGAUGUGAACAGAAUACCGUCAAUGGACAUCCCCAAAACUAAUUCCUGUGACUUUUGAACUAACACAGCUGCAGCAGCUACACCCCUUAAACAAGGAACUGUACCUGUAUCAAUUGGAUCUAGCUGACAGCUAUAGUAUCCAAUUGGAUGAUAACUUUGUCCUAAAGUCCGUGUUAGUACACCAGAUGCAAUACCUUUGGUCUCAUGCACAAAUAAUUGAAAAGGUUUAGUAUAGUCUGGGAUUCCAAGAGCUGGUGCAGAUAAAAUUGCUUCCUUAAGGCUUGCAGAUGUUCAGGUAUGAGUUUCAGGGGUUCUGGUUCUGUAUUCCUAGUUAUAUCUGUUAAACAUUUAGUAGUUUCAGUAUAUGCAGGUAUCCAUUGUCUUGUAAUGAUUAAAAUAGUGGAAGACAUAAACUGUGGCAGAUAAAAGAGUGGAUGGCUUAAAUUGUGACAACAGAAAAUAUGGUUUCAAGACAGUGUCUUGUUUUUAAAAUCAAAUAUAAGGUGGUCGCAGGGGAAAAUUCCCAAAAAAGAAAAAUUACUCAAGUCAGCUGGAUUUUAUAGAGAUUUUAAUUCAUACAAAUGAGGAAUUAAAGAAAGAGAGAGAGAGAGAGAGAGAGAGAGAGAGAGAGAGAGAGAGAGAGAGAGAGAGAGAGAGAGAGAA